rnacentral:piRNA from 1 species
UGCUAUGUCCUCACGUGGCAGUGAGAAGAA